rnacentral:rRNA from 1 species
GACGAACGCUGGCGGCGUGCCUAAUACAUGCAAGUCGAACGGUCUUUUCUAUGGAAGCUUGCUUCCGCUGAGAAGAUAGUGGCGAACGGGUGAGUAACACGUGGUAACCUGCCCAUAAGAGGGGAUAACAUCCGGAAACGGGUGCUAAUACCGCAUAGGUUUCUUGGUCGCAUGAUCGAAGAAAAGGAAAGACGGCCUUUGUGCUGUCGCUUAUGGAUGGACCCGCGGCGUAUUAGUUAGUUGGUAAGGUAAUGGCUUACCAAGGCAACGAUGGGUAGCCGACCUGAGAGGGUGACCGG